AAGGAGCACCAUUUACAUGCCCUGAUCCAGGGUUUCCCCCAUCCCCGCAACAGUGCGGGACUCGGUGGUUGGGAUUGUCGCCGGCGCCUGUAGUGGGCUUGUCCGGCGGGUGCAUAUGACAACAAACGUUCGGCCGGCUGGAAAGCGUUGGUCGUGAAGAAUUGCCAGACACACUGUUGGGUCCUGAGACAACAGGCCCGUUCGCUCCCCUCCUCAUGUGGGGGUGGGAGACACCGCUCCGUUGGGGGUGGUGGGGGUUGUU
rnacentral:misc_RNA from 1 species